GUAUAUAUGUAUACACACACUAAAAUUGGAAUGAUCCAGAGAAGGUUGACAUGGCCCUUGUGCAACGAUGACAUGAAAAUUUGUGAAGCAUUUCAUAUUUUU